GCCCCGGUAGCUCAGCUGGAAGAAUUUAUCCAAUAGCGAUUGCCUUGUAAGCAGUAGGUCGCGGGAUCGAGACCCGCCCGGGGCU
rnacentral:tRNA from 1 species